rnacentral:rRNA from 1 species
UACGUAGGGGGCGAGCGUUGUCCGGAUUCAUUGGGCGUAAAGAGCUCGUAGGCGGCUUGGCAAGUCGGAUGUGAAAACUCCAGGCUCAACCUGGAGCCGCCAUUCGAUACUGCUAUGGCUAGAGUCCGGUAGGGGAGUGUGGAAUUCCCGGUGUAGCGGUGAAAUGCGCAGAUAUCAGGAGGAACACCAAUGGCGAAGGCAGCUCGCUGGGACGUGACUGACGCUGAGACGCGAAAGCGUGGGGAGCGAACAGG